UGAAAAGUCUCUGAGCGCUCACCCGGCCGGGGGAAGUCUCAGCAGGGCCGUCAAGGUAAAUACCCGAAAUGCCGCUGCUGGAGUUUCGCAGGGACAUUUGAAGUAGCCGGAAAGGUAACGAUCGAGCGGCAAACCCAGGUAUUGCUACAAACGGCUGUAAAAAGGGAAGGAGCGCCAGUCGUUGGGAAUGUAAGUCCUGCUGAGAAAUUCGGGAGGAACUAGAUAUUUUCGGAGUCCCCUGGAGGAGAAAUGAAUUGUCUGUUUACUAUGGUAUCACGUCUUCAGCUGGCUUCUGAAUACAGUAGGUGAUUUCUGAACACCCAUCUAGCUGCCACACAGUGAAGAGUCCUGGAAGCAGAUGGGCUGACAACGGGCAUCUAGUCUGCCCAGCCAAAAGAUGCCUGUGUUGUGCCAGAAGCACCAUGGAUGUGUGUAAGAGGCGUAAGGAAGAUGUAUGGCAUUGUUUGCUCAGGGACAGCAUUCUUGGAUUCUCAGAACAAGCUGUCAACACUCUUACUGGUGACAGUUUAAAAAUUUUAAGAACAAACAUAUAUUCCCAGAUCAUUCACCAAACUGACCAAAAGGAAGAACAGAUACCUUCCUUUUGGAGUCUUCAAGCCAGGAUGACUGAAGAAAUACAAAGGACAACUCUAUCCUCCAGUAGUACUGCCUUUUUUGUCUGGGUAUUAAAGUAUAUUACAUACACUUAGAUGACAAAUAAACCAUAGCUGACAGAUGAAAUGGCAAACCAUGAGUGUGGCCCGAAAAGCAUUUUGGAUUUCCUUCAUGUGACCAGUUCUGCAGUUACCAUGCAAUCACAGUGACUCCAGGAGCAGAGCUGCAGAGUCAAGGCUAUUUUAUUAAAUCAAAAUUUACGUUUUAUGAAGGAAGCAAAUGGAAACAGCGUUAACUAUUUUUUGUAUGUUUUAUUUUCCUGAAGUUAUAAAAGUUUGGAUCAAACUCAUGAAUAUAAACAGGCAAGCUAGUGAAACAUUCUGGCAAGACCCACGCUCCCAGAUCAGGGCUCGAAUCACUGCUGUCCUGCAUGUUAUCAACCACGAUGAAAAAGGAAUUCAGAGGAACACAGACGGAACUCAAAAGUCUAGGCACUGGAGGAAAAAAAAACAAUGUUAACCUUUCCUUAGAUACAUAGACCUGAGAGUUACUGAUGUUCAAGGGGCUGAAACUUUUGUCACGUCACUGGCAGUGAGGGUCAGAAAGGGUCAGUCCUGCAAAAAUCACCUAUAUGAAUGUAUCCUUUGAAACUUCUGCUUGAUUCUUAAAAGCACAUCUCUGCAGAAUUGCAUAGACUGUGGAGUAUGCUGGGAGCUGCUUAUGCAGUACCUACUCUUUAUGUCUAUGUGCUGCCUUCCUGGACCUUAUGGGCUAUGCAAGGGCAUCAGCUGGACACCCGAGUGUACGGGUGAGCGGCUCUGACUCCUGCAACACCACCAGACUUGGUAUGGAGGAAAUUCACAGGCAGGUCACCUGCAAGGCUAAACAACUACAGAAUCCAAAGUGAGUGUUGCCAGGCAUUCAGGCACUGGAAUUGCAAUUUAUUUUUUCUAUUUUUUUGUUUUGUUUUGUUUUAGUUUUCUGGAAUGUGAAAUACUGCCUUUAAAAUCAGUCUGUUUGGGGAGUGAGUGGUGGUGGUGUAAUUUUUGCUUUUGUGAGACUUAUACCUGGCCUAAAACUAUCCUGCGUAUGGGGAGUUCUUCUAGACAUCUGGCUGAGUCCUAAGCAGGGUAGCAUACAGACACUGCUAACCGCAGUAACUUCACUGAUUAACUCAAUAGAUCACUCUCGCUGUGCUGGAAUCAAUGACAGUGGUUAAAGGUCUGUCCAAUUGCUGUCUUUCCAGUAAUGAGUUUAUAAAAAAGCUGCCACCAAAUA